rnacentral:lncRNA from 10 species
AGAGCAAGACCCUGUCUCAAAAAGAAAAAAGAAAGAGAUUGUUGUAGCCGUCUUUGGAAAACAGAAUCUGUCCCAGCUGCCAUGCAUGGCUGGAAGAGGUGGCCAAUUCCUGAUAUUCAAAAGUGUGGAAGGAUUUGCCAAGCUUAAGUCACCUUAGCUCCAACAGAUGCAGGAAAGCAAACAUCCAUUCUUGUUGGCUUCAAGAGUGGGCAACAGAGGCUUUCAGACAGUAGGAAUUUCCUUAAAUGUGGGAAGGAGCUGCAGAUGCUAGGUAAUCCUUCCCGCAAAAUAUGUACUAUAGCCCGCUCCUUUGGUUUUUUUUGUUGUGUUUUGUUUUUUAGACAAGGUC